CGCCUGUUUAACAAAAACAUGUCUUUUUGAAUGUAUAAAAAGUCUGACCUGCCCACUGAGUAUUUAAAUGGCCGCAGUAUAUUAACUGUGCAAAGGUAGCAUAAUCAUUAGUCUUUUAAUUGAAGGCUGGUAUGAAUGGUUGGACGAAAUAUUAACUGUUUCAUUUAAAUUUAUAGUAGAAUUUUAUUUUUCAGUAAAAAAGCUGAAAUAUAGUUAAAAGACGAGAAGACCCUAUAAAUCUUUAUAUUUAAGUUAUUUUAAAAUUAUAGAUUUUUUUGUUUUAUGAUAAUGAUUAAUAUUUUAUUGGGGUGAUAUUAAAAUUUAAUAAACUUUUAAUUUUUUAUUUCAUUAAUUUAUGAAUAAUUGAUCCGUUUUUAACGAUUAAAAAUUUAAGUUACUUUAGGGAUAACAGCGUAAUUUUUUUGGAGAGUUCUUAUCGAUAAAAGAGAUUGCGACCUCGAUGUUGGAUUAAGAUAUAAUUUUAGGUGUAGAAGCUUAAACUUUAAGUCUGUUCGACUUUUAAAUUCUUACGUGAUCUGAGUUCAGACCGG
rnacentral:rRNA from 1 species